UACGUAGGUGGCAAGCGUUGUCCGGAUUUACUGGGCGUAAAGAGCGCGCAGGCGGCCAGGUCAGUCGAAUGUGAAAGCCCCCGGCUCAACUGGGGAGGGUCGUUCGAUACUGCCUGGCUCGAAGGUAGGAGAGGGAAGUGGAAUUUCAGGUGUAGUGGUGAAAUGCGUAGAUAUCUGAAGGAACACCAGUGGCGAAGGCGACUUUCUGGCCUAUUCUUGACGCUGAGGCGCGAAAUCUAGGGGAGCGAACGGG
rnacentral:rRNA from 1 species